rnacentral:rRNA from 1 species
CCUACGGGGGGCUGCAGUAGGGAAUAUUGCACAAUGGGGGAAACCCUGAUGCAGCAACGCCGCGUGAGCGAAGAAGGCCUUCGGGUUGUAAAGCUCUUUUCUGUGGGACGAGGAAGGACGGUACCACAGGAACAAGUCUCGGCUAACUACGUGCCAGCAGCCGCGGUAACACGUAGGAGACGAGCGUUAUCCGGAUUCACUGGGCGUAAAGGGCAAGUAGGCGGUUGCUCAAGUUGGGCGUGACAAUCUCUGGCUUAACUAGGGAAGGACGUUCAAAACUAGGCAACUUGAGGGCAGGAGAGGAAAGCGGAAUUCCUAGUGUAGCGGUGGAAUGCUCAGAUACUAGGAGGAACACCGGUGGCGAAGGCGGCUUUCUGGUCUGCACCUGACGCUGAGAGGCGAAAGCUAGGGUAGCGAACGGGCUUAGAUACCCCGGUAGUC